rnacentral:rRNA from 1 species
UGGGGAAUAUUGGACAAUGGGCGAAAGCCUGAUCCAGCCAUGCCGCGUGUGUGAAGAAGGUCUUCGGAUUGUAAAGCACUUUAAGUUGGGAGGAAGGGCAGUAAGCGAAUACCUUGCUGUUUUGACGUUACCGACAGAAUAAGCACCGGCUAACUCUGUGCCAGCAGCCGCGGUAAUACAGAGGGUGCAAGCGUUAAUCGGAAUUACUGGGCGUAAAGCGCGCGUAGGUGGUUCGUUAAGUUGAAUGUGAAAGCCCCGGGCUCAACCUGGGAACUGCAUCCAAAACUGGCGAGCUAGAGUAGGGCAGAUGGUGGUGUAAUUUCCUGUGUAGCGGUGAAAUGCGUGGAUAUAGGAAGGAACACCAGUGGCGAAGGCGACCACCUGGGCUCAUACUGACACUGAGGUGCGAAAGCGUGGGGAGCAAACAGG